rnacentral:lncRNA from 1 species
AAAUACAGAUUUGAGUGACCAGUGCCACGGAAGGAAAUGCAUCGAGUGCAGGCAACAAGACUCACUGCACGUGAAGGGGUCAACACCAAGAGAAUAAGGGGUUGAAAAGCUAUGCUCAGGUUGUUGCCUCAAACCACUGACCCAGGGCACCAUACAAGCCACCAGCACAACGGGUGUCCAAGAGAAAUGUCAAUCUGCAACGCAGCGCUGACCAGUAGCCAAAAAUUACCCCAAAAUAAAAUAUUAUCUCAGCACAUUGCUGUCUGUACUGGCAGAAGAGCAACCCAGCGGGAGACAAGCGCUCAGCACAUCCCUAAAACAAGGCUCCUGUUUGAAGUGCACGGAUCAAGGCUGGAUUAGGAGAGCCCGGUAGGAGCCUCCAGCUCUGCUCCCACGCUGAAAGGCAGCUCAGCAGCGACUUCACAUGCAAGGUUGGGCUGGAUUCUGGGAAGGAGUAAUUGCAGAGCGUGUGCUCCGCUUGUCUAUGGAAGGGAAGGCAGAGCUGCCUCGUCCUGGCUGCAGGAGCACCCAGCACUGCUCUACCUCCGUUGCAUGAGGACUCAGGCAGAAUGCCACAGUGCAGAUGAAGACCAACAGCAAACGCAGCAAAAAAUGCCACCAUCUGCCUGGCCAGACAGAUCCCAGAAACACAUCUGUGCCUUUAGACAAGCUUAAAGAAUCACUUCUCAAGUUUCCCUCCAGUCAACAGCUUAUUUCCCCCCUCCAAUCCAAGCAACAAACAGGGUUAGUUCAAUUCAAGCAGGCAAGAGAGGAUGAGAGCUCGGCAGCAGCCCCUACCUGUGGGUGCAUCCUUCCCUCCUCACCGCGCAGCCAGGAGCACGCCGCUCUCCUCUGGUAUCUCUCCAGCAUCCUGUGUUGAAGAACUGCAGGACCGACCCCUCGCGCUCAGGCCGCUCCCACCAAUGAGCAGCGCUGCCCUGGUCUCCUGGGGGAUGCAGCACGCUGCCAACCAUCUCUGCAGCCCUUCUCAGUGUCUUAACUUAUUUACCCAAAUAGUGGAAAAACAACUCAAGUGGAGCCAGACACUCUCCAGCAACAUGACGGCAACUGGUUUCUUUAGUUUAGUUCCCCCGCGAGCUAGGGAAGUAGCUUGGUCCUGAUGGUUAUUAAUUGAAAAGGAGGGAAGGCUGAGUAAAGUAGAAGGGAGAUUUCCUACAACGUGAACAAUAAAGUGCUCCUCAUCGCUGUUCCUUGCA